CAUGAAACCAGGAGAAGAUCCCAGCAUGCCGUCACCGUAUCUUUGCUCGUGGUCCUCCGGGUGACGUUCCUAUGCGAAGCGUGGUAUUCGGAAAUCGACAGAGGCUACACGCAGUACGGUGGCUGGCAGUGGCAAGACGCGUCGAGCCCAAAGUUCCUGCAACUCGCCACGGAAGUAGAGCUUGGUGCCAAAGACGGAAGAAAGUAUUACAGCGUGGCUAGCGAAGUUCUGCAAGCAUACGUCCAGGUAGUGAAUGGAUUAAACUACAAUAUCACCUACGUUGCGCGAAAAACAAAAUGUCCUACAUAUCAGCGCUUCGACGAGGAUAUUUGCACGGCUGACAUUCAGCACGAAAAAGGAAGAUUCUGCAACGCCCUCGUCUGGCAGGAUUAUUAUUCAGUGAUUGGCGAAACAUAUUUCUACAAGUGUGACAACUCCUGGUCCACUACGUACGAGUAGUUUCUCGCAUGUAUAUGUGGUCACACGUUAUCACUCGGCAAUAAAGUGUUUCAGCGAAAAGGUGUCCUAGUUAGAUACUGAUUGUAUCAGCUAAUAAUUUAGCCAUAGAGCAACCGCCGUGCAAAGAUUUAGAUGCGAAAUACGAGUAAAUGACUCGCAAAAAGCUCGCAAAAAUAGACGUUUUUGAUAGCGAAAUUGCAAGGGACCCCACUAUUACCGCUUGUCGAAAGUGACGCGCGACCCAGAACGCACUACUCCUCGGCAUGACGGCCCUGGCUAAUAAUUUCCAUGUGACCUGUGUAAACGUCGAUGUCUUUGCCACCUAACUGCAACAUUUGCUUAAGAGCUGUUAACAAA